UGCGCGAACCCACUUCCUUCCAGCUCCUCCCACCGCCAGCGAACCCCUUCCUCCCACCACCUCCCAGUGCCGCCGAUCCCUUCCUCCCAGCGCCUCCUCGCAAACAGCACCUCCCAGCACCUCCUCGCAGAGAGCACCACCGUCGCAGACAGCACCACCCGGAACCACCCAGCAGCUAGCACUACUGUCGCGGACAACACCACCCACAGCACCGUUUCUGGCUUCGUGGAGACAGCACCACCCAGCCACCCAAAGCAUCGAUUCUGGCUUCGUUGAAAGCACCCAGUCACCGAAUCAAGUCAGAUAUAGGGUCUCCGAGUUAGGUAUUCAAUUUUUGUUCAAUAAUAAUUGAUUCAUUGUUGUUGAUUAUUGUUUAUUGUUCAAUUUCUGUUUCAGUGUAUAUUCUUUGCUGAUUGUUGCUUAUUAUUUAUUUGUUGUUGAUUUACUAAAAUUGCUUCUGAUUGUGAUUUACUGUUUAAUUUAUUUGUUCAAUGUAUUUAUUGUUGUGUUUUUGCUUGAUUUUUUAAGCAGAAAAUGUGAGAAGGACAAUGAAAGAAAGGCUUUCACUGAGAGAGAAAGCUGUUUGGAGUGUGCUGUAAGUUAAAUGGCUCGUUUUAUGUUCAAAAUUUCCUUACAAUGGAGUCUAAGAUUUUAAAAUGUAAAAGGAACACGUCUUACCUACGUGCCAAUAGGUUUGUGGUUCUCAAAUUUUCUCCAUAUAUACUAUCAAUAUGUUUUUUUACUGGCCAUCUGUGUUACUUAGAAGUUCACAUGCUGUUUGAAUGAAAAACUGCAAAAUAAUUUGGUGAAAAUUUAUUGUGACUGAUUUAGAUGCUCAAGUUAGAUUCAUACUGGUGAGUUAACAAUUGGCUCACUGUUGAGUUUUGUUUGAACUUUGAACUUGUAUAAAGCUGUAGAAAAGAAUAACAAUUGGCUCACUUGUUGAGUUUUGUUUGAACUUUGAACUUGUAUAAAGCUGUAGAAAAGAAAAGUGCAUAUAUUCUUAAUAAAGAUUCUUUUCCUGCUAGCUGGAAGCUGUAGAUUUGUGUUAUUUUCACCAGUGUUAUUUUCUCUAUAUUGAUAGUUUAUAUAUGGAGAAAAUUUGAGAACCACAAAUCUAUUGGCACGUAG
rnacentral:lncRNA from 1 species